GGUAGUUUGCUGCUGCUAAGGCUGGUAGUAACAUUGCCUAGUUGCAAGGCUGCUUGGAACAUCCUGGAGGCCCUGACUACUUGGGAGGACCACCUAUUCCUUAUCCUGUGAUACCAAAUGGCUAUCAGAAGAAGCACUCAGUAACCUUUGAUUUAAGAGAGGGCAGGCUGGUGGUGGAACACUUCCUAUGAGGUAUUCUCCCUCCAUUCUGGGACAUGAUUCCCUCUGGUCCAAGACUUCUGACCUUCACACUGCAAGGGUCUGGCUCAUUAAAUCAGCAUCUGCAGAGCUCUAGGUAUGGUGCAUGCAGCUGCCUUGACAGAAGGAGAUUGGUCUGAAGCUGUCACAUGCUCUUGGAUGUGCUGAUCUCCUGCUAGCCCUGGUUGCUGAUCAGCACCUUGCUCGCACACCCUACCAAGCUCCUCACUGAGCUGCCCAGCUCUGGAUACCAUACAUGAAAAUUGGACAAUGCAGUAUCCUCUAAAGAGGUGGAACAGACCAAUAUGGCUACAACCUGGAUACCUGACAGAUGGAAGAUAUUGGAUUUUAGCUGAUUUAAAAAAAAAUGAAAUUUUCAUAUUUUCCAAAGGAGGAAGCAACUGUGACCACCAGAAAUCCUGCUCCUGCCUCUGUUUCAAGGUAAUUUGCAUCAUCACAGAUUCUCACAGGAGGUGAGAGGCUCUGUACUAGCUAUGAACCGACUGCCCAGAGGAGUUUUCCAUCUGUGAAAUCCUAUGAAAUAUGAACUUUCAUUUCUACCCAGGAGAACUUUUACAAUCUUUUCUCCAAUGCCUGAUUUAAAGGGUGUUUAUGCCCAAAAACUUGCAAUUAAGGAAUUUUUUUUGCAAAAAUCUUGUUGGUCUAAUAAAAGAGAUCAUCUCUAUUACAAAUCCUGAUUGCUUUAAAACUCAAGCUUUCAAGCAAGAUAAUACAUCCUAAGUGCACUCCUAUUGUCAUAGGAAAAUUAUGCCUUUUCCAGCAAGGAGUAUCUCCAGAUCAGAGUAAGAAAUGUAUGAUGAGCUAAUGUUGGCAUGCUCCAUGGAGAUAAUAUGGUCAAUUGUAGACCUGGAGUUGGGAGACACAAACUUAAGUUUGGGACUGGCUUCUGGUGUUGAAAAUGUUGCUUAACUACUAGGUGAUAAGCAUCUAUAACAGGGGCGGGCAAUUAUUUUGGGCAGAGAGCUGCUUACUCAGUUUUUGGCAGACUGUCGAGGGCUGCGUGGGUAGCCCCGCCCUGUGACCGGUACCCCACCCCUUGACAGGUGCCCUGCCCCCAGUCACCAUCUUGGGACCAAUGUCCCAAUGUUUUGGGACCAAUGUCCCAGGGCCAGCAUUGGUGGGGCCCAAAGCAGGACACAGGCUGGCAAGGGUGUGUGGAGCCGGGCUGGGCUGCACCAGCAGGGAGAGGGGGGAGCUGGCCCAACUCCAUAGAGCCCUUGCUGGCUGGGACCCUGCACUCCUGCCACCCUGCUCUG